rnacentral:lncRNA from 1 species
GUCAACAAAAUUAACCCUUAGUAUAUUAACUGAAUGAUCCCUGCUGCUGUUCUUUCAACAGUCUGCCCUGAGACUUUUAAGUAUAUAGCAAGAUACCUGUCUGUAUUCCAAGCUCAUGCCUGACCAGUCACCCAAGGUCCUUUCCCUAUUUUUUAGCGAGGGGUUGAGUUCAGAAAAUAGGACGCCUAUUUACCUCAUUCAGUCACAGCAUGACCUUUGUUACUGGUGUAUGCAAGAUUGGGGUGGAGAGGUGUAGAUAGGAAAACAAGUUCAGCUGCAGUGGGAAAUGUGACAUUUCUGUCAAUUGACCUCAUCUGGGUUAAUGACAUCCACUAGCAGCAGUGCUUAAGUAUGAAUAAAUAAAGCCACCUGAGAGCUACUACUCUGGGCUGGUAUCCGCCAGUUCAAAACACCAUCUAUCUUGUUUUUUUAGGGAUUCAGAAAGAAACAAGGCAGAACGUUGUUGUCUAAGUUAUUACCCACCCAUUACCAGCAGAUUCCAGAGCAGGCUAACAUAAUUUAAGGUUCAGUAUCAAAAGCAGUGAAAACAAAUGAGUCACAAGAAUAGGGUGGAUACCUCUUUAGUAUUCUGUCCAUGCCGAAUCUCCCAACAUUCAACAUCUUUGGACAUCCAACAUUAUGAGCAGGACUGGCCCAAGACAUUUUGGCACCUCAGGCGAUCCACAAAAUGGCAUCCGUCCCCGCCACCAGGGAAGGAAGAGCGAAGAUCUACACUGGGAACAAGGGACAGAAUCAAAUCAACCUCCCCAGAUGGUUGAAGUGGGAAUCAAAGGCCGCCGCAGCGGGACUGGGAAGGGAUCCACUCUGAAUUAUGCCGGGAAGGUGUACACCCCAGCAGAAGCAGAGCUAGCUCCUUUGGCACCCAGAGCGGUGCACAUACUGUGCACCCAGGGGAAGGGCCAUGGGGGCGGGAUGAGCGUCCCAGGAGGGCACCGUGGCGAGUUUCCCAGGGGGCGAGCCGCCCAUGGGGUGGUGGAGUGAGCUGCUCAUGGCAUGCUGCUUCCUGGGGGGUGUGUGGGGAGUCGCCACUUUGCCAGCAGCCUUCCUCCCUUCCAUCUUCCUUUUGACAGCAGGGGGGAGGCCUCCCUCCCAGGAAGCAGCCCGGGAGCGGGGGGCAAUGGCACGCUGCCCGCCCACGACUCCCAAGCCUCCCCUGAACUGUCAAAACAAAGGGGGAAGGGGGGAAGGCUGCUGGCAAGACAGCACAGCUCUGUCCCUUCCCCCGAUGGCUCGGGGUAGGCUUGGGAGUCGUGGGAGGGCGGCACGCCGAAUGUCACCCCCCUCAGUGAUGACACCCGGAGCAGAACGCCCCCACCGCCCCCUUCCUCUGCCCCUGGACCCCAAGAGACCCCAGAAGGAGCUGCUGAGCAGCAGACAGAUCUGUCUUCCAAGGAGCACAUCACAGCCAUCACUGUCAUCGCAGCAGCAGCAGCAUCAGUAGGAAAUGCAUUCCUUGGAGGUUGGAUCUGCUGCCCCUGUGGAUUCUGCCACCCGAGGCGGUCUUCUCGCCUUACCUCAUGGGUGGGCCGGCCCUGAUUAUGAGAUUAGGGAAGGCAGAACGCUCUUUGUCUUUGUGAAACCUUUAGCGUCUUGUGUCCAGUUCUCUAUCCCCGCCAUAGCAGGGAAACGUUGGUCUUUUGUUUAAAAUGGUUUAUAUAGAACUCUCCACCUCUCCCCCCCCCCCCAAUUUUUCCUCCGCCUCAGCAAAGACUAUGAAACCUGCCCUUGACAGAUACUGAUCUGGGGCGAUGCCAGGUUGCUCAUGCAGAUGGAAGCUGCCUUCACCUCUCAGAAGCUACUGGCUGCCUUCCCUCCUUCUCAUGUGCAACAAGGCAUAACUCCAGCUGCUGACAUCAACUGAUUCAAAGGUCCCAGUUUAGACGCAGAGAGGAAUGCUGCCAGAGGUGUCGUGGCAAAUGUUGAAACGCAGGAGCUCACCAUGACAGCUCCUGUUGUCAUGUCCCCAAGGAGAAUCUAUAAAUGCAGGCAGCUAUGUUCAUCCAUUUCUGACUCUCCUUCAUUAUACAUACACACCCUGCCAAAGAGAAGUAAUCCAUAUCAUAAUACCCAGUGUGUUAGGAUAAGAAUGACCACAAUCUCAUGCCUAGUUUCCUGGGAGUAGACUCCGUUAACCUCUGUGGCACUUUCUUCUGUUCUGGCUGGAGAUAUUCCACUUGUAAAACACCCCGAGCUUUAGGAAAAGAUUUUCAGCCAGCUGAAAUACAAACUUUAGAAAUGCAAAUGACCUUGCAAAUAAAUGUUCUGUGAAGUCGGACACCCAUCAAAGAAAAUGAAAGAAUUUCCCUGCCUCUGUUUGAUUGUUUCUCUCCCGACUUCCACUAUGCUAAUUUGCCACAAACAGACUUGAAAGUCUCAUUAUCAUCACAUUCAUUUGACAGAUCAAGGAAGAGCCAUCAAUCACCGUGGAAUUCUGCAAAAUGAUGUCAUUACUCACCUGACCCACUCACCUGUUUCUUUUCCACUAUACAACUGAACACUGUAAGUUCUUUUUUAUUAUUAUUGAUAUAGCGAGAAGGAAAAAAGAGAAAACACAGAUACAGAAUUACACACAGGAAUAACAAUAAACACAAAAGUUUCUUAAACUAUAAAACAUAAGUUGGUCUUAACACUAUAGACCCGACCUCCCAUCUAUUCCUUAUUUCAAUUUCAUAUUACUUAAUGCCAAU